rnacentral:misc_RNA from 1 species
AAAGCAACCACAACCACACUCUCAAACACGCUCUAGCUAUUUAGUGUGUGUUUAGCUUGAAGUUGUUGUUGGUUU